GGCCCCACGCCCAGCCGCGGGAGGGGGCAGCGAGCAGCAGCCGUUGGGGGGCCAGGGGCAAAGAGCCCCCGGAGAGGCAGCGUCGCCCAGGCGGGCUCUGGGGGGGGCAGGACGGGUAGCCGCGACCCUCUCCUCGAGGAUGGGGCAGGCUCUUUCCCAGCGCCUGUGCUGCCUGCCUCCCCUCGCUGCGGAGCGGCCCUGGGGAGAAGGCGAGCCUGGCUGGAGGCGCGGGGCUGUGCUGCGGCUUCCCACCUGGGCUCCACAGGAAAGCAACAACCCUUUGCCUUUUCCCCCUCGGUCAAUGCACCAACAGUGCAGCCUGAACCAGUCUAGGAUGCACCAUUGGCAUACCAUGUGAAUGUGAAAAGUCCAUCACAAAAGCCUCCAAUUACAGGAUGGAACACUGGAAUCACAAGUCUCCAGGAAGGCUGGAAUCACAAUGGCAGGAGUCUUCUGGUGUCUGCCUGUUCAUGAGAAACAAAAGGAGGUGGACUGAAGAAACUGGAGGCCCAUAAGCCAUCAUCACACUUCUACAAAUAUGUAAGAUUGGAAAUGAGGACUAUUGGAUCAACAGUAUUGUGAAGACUGGGGACACAGACUGAAAGAGGAAAUACUUGAUUCUCCAGACGUGGCUACAUUUUCUUCACUAUCUUAUACGGAAUAAUGAGCCCUGAUGCCUCUGAACUGACUUCAUUAUUAGAUUUUCAUUAUUUCUGCUUGCCCUAUUUUUUGCAGUUUUAACUUUUCCACAGACCUCAGUUAGAUGCACCUUAAAUGAAUAUUCUCAUUUAGGAAAGUUUCUAAUUGGUAGCUUUCAAGGAUAUAGGUAUUUAAAAUCAGCCUUGUUGUGCUUCAGUAUAGUUAUAUCUUCUAUUUAGAACCAGGUUAUGGGAAUCUAAUCAAAACAUCAAUAGAAAGGUUUUUAAUACCAGAAAACAUUGAUCAAAUUUAAAAGCAACUUUUAUUUUCAAAUAUGUUGUUUUUUAAUUCACAUAUCAUAUUCAGGUUUUUUAUUUUGUACAUUUUUACAUUUAAUUACAGGA